rnacentral:rRNA from 1 species
GACGAGCCUGACAAACGUUAUUCGGAAUCACUGGGCUUAAAGGGUGCGUAGGCGGUGCGGAAAGUCGGGUGUGAAAUCCCUCAGCUCAACUGAGGAACUGCACUCGAUACUUCCGUGCUAGAGUAAGACAGAGGUAAGUGGAACUGAGGGUGGAGCGGUGAAAUGCGUUGAUAUCCUCAGGAACACCGGUGGCGAAGGCGACUUACUGGGUCUUUACUGACGCUGAUGCACGAAAGCUAGGGUAGCAAACGGG